rnacentral:rRNA from 1 species
AGUAAAUAGAUACCCCGGUAGUCCACGCCGUAAACGAUGAGUACUAGGUGUAGGAGGUAUCGACUCCUUCUGUGCCGCAGUUAAACACAAUAAGUACUCCGCCUGGGAAGUACGGUCGCAAGAUUAAAACUCAAAGGAAUUGACGGGGGUCCCGCACAAGCAGCGGAGCAUGUGGUUUAAAAUUCGAAGCAACGCGAAGAACCUUACCUAGACUUGACAUCUCCUGAAUAGUGUAGAGAUACAUGAAGCCCUUCGGGGUCAGGAAGACAGGUGGUGCAUGGUUGUCGUCAGCUCGUGUCGUGAGAUGUUGGGUUAA